GACGAACCGUGCGAACGUUAUUCGGAAUCACUGGGCUUAAAGGGCGCGUAGACGGGCGACCGCGUCGAUGGCUGAAAGCCCCCGGCUCAACCGGGGAACGGGCCUCGAUACGGGUCGCCUCGAGUGGAGGAGGGGGACCUGGAACUGCCGGUGGAGCGGUGAAAUGCGUUGAGAUCGGCAGGAACGCCUGUGGCGAAAGCGGGGUCCUGGACUCUUACUGACGUUGAGGCGCGAAAGCCAGGGGAGCGAAAGGG
rnacentral:rRNA from 1 species